ensembl:lncRNA uncharacterized LOC113146033
CAUUGAUCAAGCUGCCAGUAGUUUGACUGAAGUGACAGAGACAGUUCUUUUCAGUUUUCUCCAUCAUCUCAGAAUGAACAUCCACCAGCUUCUGUUUCUGUGCUUCUUCCCAGCACUGAGGCGCUUUGGGCUUGUCAGUGCAAAACUCAGGAUUUACACAGGAGCUGAAGGAGGAAAUGGUACGCUUAACUGCCACUUUUCUCAGCCUGGAAGCAGAACGUUCUUCUGUAAGGAACAAUGUAAAGAAGACGACAUUCUCAUUAAAACAGAUGAUGUCAGAGCCACCAGUGGCAGAUACAGCACUAAAUAUAAAAAAGAAUCUUCUGGUAAAGUAAUUCUAUCUGUGACCUUUACACAUCUGGCCAAGUCUGACUCAGGACGGUACAGACAUGGUUUGGGUUUGGACACGUCUCUGGUUCCAGAUUCAUACUGUGACUUUGAGAUCAAAGUUUCAGACGCACCUUUGGCCGAUAACUCAAUUUUUCACUAUACAAGUACUCAAGGAGAAAAUGUUGAAUAUCCAUGUUUCAAUAAUAGUAACAGAGGCAGUAUAUUCUUCUGUAAGGAGCCAUGUAAAAAAGAAGAAGACGUCCUCAUUGAAACAGAAAACAGCAGCGCCCAGAAAGGCAGAUACAGCAUCGAAUAUAAAGCAAACUCCGUAUUUGGACUGUAUGUGACCAUCAAACAGGUGGACACAUGGGACAGAGGACGGUACAGGUGUGGCUAUGGCAGAGCUUUGUCUUCUGAUUCAUAUACAACAUUUUCAGUCAUUACUGAAGAUGCAGAUGCUGGAGACAGGAAACAGGAGGAGCCUAUGACGCCUAUGACUCAGUUCAGCAGCCUAAAACCAACAGCAGACGCCAGUGUAAGGACUCCCCUACCAGAGAACUCAACAGCCUUCUCCCAGCUCUCUCACCCAGAUUAUUUCUGGCCUCUGGUAGUAUGUGUCCCCUUGGCUGCUGUAUUACUGUCUUUCGUGUUUCCGCUGCUGCUGUACAAACAGAUGAGGAGGAGGAAGACCAGAGGAAACAUAGAUGGUGUAAAUAUGGAGACUUAUCAGAACUGGACUCCAGUCUCUGGGUGUGAAGACUCUGUGUACGAGAGCCUUGAUCCAGCCAGCAGGGACCAGAACCAAUGCUACUCUGUUUUCACAAAGACAUACACCAAAUGCUAAUGUUUUAAUCUGAAUCUGGAGUGUGUGUUGAUCUUGUGCUGCUAGGCUCCGUCUUUUAUUUUAUUGUUUGGCAAAUAUUUCAUAAUUUUAUCAUAUAUUUUAUAACUUCUCUUUCUGAUGACACAGACCUGAUCAUGUUUCUUCAGGAGUUCAGCACCUUCUCACUUGAUUAUUUUGAAAUCUGUCUUCAAAAAGUGGAUGUGUCUGUAGUUCUUCUUCUACACUCUGAGCAUUACAUAAAGAAAUGAGUGUAGUCCUGCUUAUUUCAGAUUAUUGCUUUGAUUCAGUUAUUAAAUCAUUGUAUCUGCUGUUGGGUCCAGUUUUUUCCAAUAUCUUAGUACAGGAAGAAGUACAUAUUGCACCGUGAUGGCUAAACAGAAAUACUCUUACACUGCUGGUAUGGUUGAAUGUGUGAAAAAACACAGCGACUCAACAACCACAGCUCCAAAUGUG